rnacentral:rRNA from 2 species
GCAGUCGAACGAGUUCUCGUUGAUGAUCGGUGCUUGCACCGAGAUUCAACAUGGAACGAGUGGCGGACGGGUGAGUAACACGUGGGUAACCUGCCCUUAAGUGGGGGAUAACAUUUGGAAACAGAUGCUAAUACCGCAUAGAUCCAAGAACCGCAUGGUUCUUGGCUGAAAGAUGGCGUAAGCUAUCGCUUUUGGAUGGACCCGCGGCGUAUUAGCUAGUUGGUGAGGUAAUGGCUCACCAAGGCGAUGAUACGUAGCCGAACUGAGAGGUUGAUCGGCCACAUUGGGACUGAGACACGGCCCAAACUCCUACGGGAGGCAGCAGUAGGGAAUCUUCCACAAUGGACGCAAGUCUGAUGGAGCAACGCCGCGUGAGUGAAGAAGGCUUUCGGGUCGUAAAACUCUGUUGUUGGAGAAGAAUGGUCGGCAGAGUAACUGUUGUCGGCGUGACGGUAUCCAACCAGAAAGCCACGGCUAACUACGUGCCAGCAGCCGCGGUAAUACGUAGGUGGCAAGCGUUAUCCGGAUUUAUUGGGCGUAAAGCGAGCGCAGGCGGUUUUUUAAGUCUGAUGUGAAAGCCCUCGGCUUAACCGAGGAAGCGCAUCGGAAACUGGGAAACUUGAGUGCAGAAGAGGACAGUGGAACUCCAUGUGUAGCGGUGAAAU